CUAAUUUUUGACUUUUUUGGGGUGGCAGAACAUGGUAUUACAAAAGGCCUAAGCCCUUAUUAUGAGAGUUCAAAUCUCUCCCCCAACU
rnacentral:tRNA from 1 species